ACUAAGACAUGCUAGUCGAGCGUCUUCAGGCUAUGUUGAGGACGCGGCGUACGGCUCAGUAACACGUGGCCAACCUACCCUUAGGACGGAGACAACCCCGGGAAACUGGGGCUAAUCCCCGAUAGGUGAGGACGCCUGGAAUGGUCUCUCACCCAAAGGACGUUGAAGCCAUGCCUUUCAGCGUUGCCUAAGGAUGGAGCCGCGGCCGAUCAGGUUGUUGGUGAGGUAACGGCUCACCAAGCCUAUAACCGGUACGGGCCAUGAGAGUGGGAGCCCGGAGAUGGGCACUGAGACAAGGGCCCAGGCCCUACGGGGCGCAGCAGUUGCGAAACCUCCACAAUGCACGAAAGUGCGAUGGGCUAACCCGAGUGCCGUCCGCUGAGGAGGGCUUUUCUCCGCUGUAAGGAGGCGGAGGAAUAAGGAGAGGGCAAGACUGGUGUCAGCCGCCGCGGUAAUACCAGCUCUCCGAGUGGUAGGGACGAUUAUUGGGCCUAAAGCGUUCGUAGCCGGCUUGGCAAGUCUCUCGUUAAAUCCAGUGACCUAAUCGCUGGGCUGCGGGAGAUACUGUCAGGCUUGGGAGCGGAAGAGGUCGACGGUAUUCUCGGGGUAGGGGUGAAAUCCUGUAAUCCGGGAGGACACCAG
rnacentral:rRNA from 1 species